rnacentral:misc_RNA from 1 species
GUGAGUCAUCGAAUCUUUGAACGCAUAUUGCACUCCUUGGUAUUCCUUGGAGUACACUUGUUCGAGCGCCGUUUGCGUCCUAAGGCUCUGCCUUGUGUUGAGAUUCUCCUGGAAAGGGGCUCUCCAAGCAAAUGGGCGUCUGUCGUGCCUGAACCGCAACACACUGCGUGCCAGGGACGUCGGCAGGCGCCAAACCCGUCCAGCAUGGCCUCGGAUCAAGUGGGGAUACCCGCUAAACUUAAGCAUAUCAAUAAGCGGAGGA